CAUUAGUGAAGACAGGGUUUGAGACUGCGUCGUUGAACGACGUGUGCUCGACUCUUACUCUUAUCCACACCUUUGUGCACCAUGGGAUUCGUCCCCUCUUUAUUAAACACCAGUUAUAUGCAUGUCAUGAUACUCAUAGAGUAAUUAAUAUACAACUUUUAACAACGGAUCUCUUGGCUUUCGCAUCGAUGAAGAACGCAGCGAACGUGCGAAACGUAAUGUGAAUUGCAGAAUUCAGUGAAUCAUCGAAUCUUUGAACGCAUCUUGCGCUCCUUGGUAUUCCGAGGAGCAUGCCUGUUUGAGUGUCGUGAAAUACUCAAUUUCAAUCCUUUUUUGGUUGAAAUUGGAUUUGGGUGUUGUCGUGAAGGAUCACGACUCAUCCUAAACGCAUUAGCGAUCUGGCUUUGAUCACACACAAUGUGAUAAGAAAAGCAUUGUUGAUUGGAGUGAGGGUUGCUUCUAGCCGUCGAAAGACAAGCGCAUAUAACAUGUCAUUUGACCUCAAAUCAGGUAGGAUUACCCGCUGAACUUAAGCAUAUCAAUA
rnacentral:rRNA from 1 species